rnacentral:rRNA from 1 species
AUGAACCAAACGUCGAGUUAAGGGGCCUAAAUGAAUGCUCAUUCAGAUCCCAUCGAAAGGUGUUGGUUGCUAUAGACAGCAGGACGGUGGCCAUGGAAGUUGGAAUCCGCUAAGGAGUGUGUAACAACUCACCUGCCGAAGCAACUAGCCCUUAAAAUGGUAUGGCGCUCAAGCAUUCUCCCGAUACUCGACCGCCGUGGCACUACCGGUCCGCUGCCUUCUUCACCGAAGGUAGCGGGUCUCGAAGCCCCGGUGAGUAGGAGGGUCGCGGUGGUGUGCGCUGAAGGGUUCGGCGUGAGCCGGCCUGGAGCCUCCACUGGUGCAGAUCUUGGUGGUAGUAGCAAAUAGUCGAGAGAGAGUCCCUUGAAGGCCGAAGUGGAGAAGGGUUCCA